rnacentral:rRNA from 1 species
AUGACGAUCAUGAGCUGGAACUGUCGAGGCCUCGGGCAACCUCGCACAGUUCAAGAACUAGUGUGUCUGGUACACACACACAAGCCCAAGCUCGUCUUCCUCACUGAAACUCGGCAGAAUAAUAAGUUCGUUACAAACCUCAAGUGGAGGCUGGGCCUCCGUCAUUGUAUCACGCAACCCGGCACCGGAAAAGGUGCUGGCAUUGCACUCUUCUAUGAUGAAAGUGUG